UACAGAGGUCUCAAGCGUUGUUCGGAUUCAUUGGGCGUAAAGGGUGUGUAGGUGGCGCCGUAAGUCGGGUGUGAAAUUUCGGAGCUUAACUCCGAAACUGCAUUCGAUACUGCGGUGCUUGAGGACUGGAGAGGAGACUGGAAUUCAUGGUGUAGCAGUGAAAUGCGUAGAUAUUGGGAAGAACACCGGUGGCGAAGGCGGCGACCUGGUCCUUGACUGACGCUGAGGCGCGAAAGCGUGGGGAGCAAACAGG
rnacentral:rRNA from 1 species